AUUGAACGCUGGCGGCAUGCUUUACACAUGCAAGUCGGACGGCAGCGCAGAGAAGCUUGCUUCUUGGGUGGCGAGUGGCGAACGGGUGAGUAAUAUAUCGGAACGUACCGAGUAAUGGGGGAUAACUAAUCGAAAGAUUAGCUAAUACCGCAUAUUCUCUGAGGAGGAAAGCAGGGGACCUUCGGGCCUUGCGUUAUUCGAGCGGCCGAUAUCUGAUUAGCUAGUUGGUGGGGUAAAGGCCUACCAAGGCGACGAUCAGUAGCGGGUCUGAGAGGAUGAUCCGCCACACUGGGACUGAGACACGGCCCAGACUCCUACGGGAGGCAGCAGUGGGGAAUUUUGGACAAUGGGCGCAAGCCUGAUCCAGCCAUGCCGCGUGUCUGAAGAAGGCCUUCGGGUUGUAAAGGACUUUUGUCAGGGAAGAAAAGGCUGUUGCUAAUACCGACAGCUGAUGGCGGUACCUGAAGAAUAAGCACCGGCUAACUACGUG
rnacentral:rRNA from 1 species